AAGGAUUUCAAACCGCAAGAGGAAAACGAUAAUCGUUGGCAGCUUCUGUCAGUGAGACACAAAACACAACCCUCUACAGCCAAAGGUAUCACACAGGCCACCUAGUGACAAAUUGCCUCCACUGUCAGUCAAAAGAACCAAGAGGACCUUCCAAAAUAUCGUCCUCAGAAACCAAUGCCAAUCAACUCCCUGAGUGAGAGCAGUCUCCAAGUUCUGAGCUAUGCACUGGCGACACCAGAAUGGCAACGGGUCAUGGUUGACUUAGGAAAUGGGAGCCGACAACAUCACAGUAAUUGCUGAAAGAGCUGUAAGAGAAAGCUGGGACCCUCGCUUCAAGUUUUUAAUGGCGUGGCAUCAAAAGCACUCGGGUAAACCUAAUCUAAUGAGUGACAUGGAGGAGCCACAGAGACGUAUUGAUCGAUGUGAUAUAGCAGAGACGAUCAGACGGUGUGCCGUAAAGAUAGGAUCGACCAUUUAGAAAGGACGAUUUCACUCCCCAAUAACAUAUAUUCAGUGUUUCCUUUUCUAAACAUUGUCUUUUCAUGUUUCAUAUACCCAUCACGUCACGCAAACACUUGUCUUUCCAUACAGACGAUUCCUAUAGCUUUCAUAUCAUUUGGCAAAGCCGGUAUUCGCACAGUAAAUAGGUAGUGAUCAUUGGAUAUUGUAGGGGAAACAAACCUGUGUUUUUUGUCUCUGUUUGAUGGGGAUUGUCAAUGGAGCUUGAAAAUUGUUUGGAAAAUUAAUUAUACCGGUUUGUG